rnacentral:rRNA from 1 species
UACGGAAGGGGAAAGCGUUGUUCGGAAUCAUUGGGCGUAAAGGGCGCGCAGGUGGUUCUGUAUGUCUGCCGUGAAAGCAUACAGCUCAACUGUAUUGUGUCGGUAGAAACUGCAGGACUUGAGGCUGGGAGGGGCUGGUGGAAUUCCCUGUGUAGCGGUGAAAUGCGUAGAGAUGGGGGAGAACACUCGUGGCGAAGGCGGCCAGCUAGACCAGUUCUGACACUGAGGCGCGACAGCGUGGGGAGCAAACAGG